UUUGAUCUUUGUUUUGUUUUCUGAAUCAGACUCUCACUACAUAGCUUUCUCCAUCCUGCAACUUUUACUAUGUGGACAAGGCUGGCUUGGAUUCACAGAGAUCUAUCAUCCAAAGGAGGGGUUGACAUCAAGUGCCAAUACUUUAAUAGAUGUCUUUUGGCUUCUAAAAUAGCAGUUACAGAUUUUAUGAGGAAAUAUCUCUCUGUAACGGUGUUGUUUCUUUGUUUUAUGUUUUGGUGUUUGCAGUAUUUUAUCACUUUGCUGACUUGCUUAUGGUAGCUAACACAGAACAGUUUAUGUACCAUGUCUGUGAGAUCACUGAGAAGGGCAUGGGCAGAGCUUUAGGCUCUUGUGAUAUUGCACUGUGUCCUAAGGAGCUAAGGGUCAGGCCACGACAGAUGAGACACUCUGUGGAGAAUGGCUUGGACACCUGAGCCACAAUACUAAUACCCCAAGCAUACAAUGUGCAUGCUUUUUUUAGUGCAGUCAUAACACAGACAUCACUACAUGCGUGCAUGAUGCCCCCAAGAACAUACCAUUAACUUAGAAAUGGCUAACACAUUCCAUCAGGUGCUAGGCCUGUUAUCAAGAAGCCCAAUAUAAGAAAUAGGGUAAGAUGUGAGUUUACAGCACAAGCCCAGUUGCCAUGGGUCUAGAAGAAGUAAGUUUUAGGUUGACCUCACAAUGCUCUGAGUGAACUGGUAGCCAGGAUGCCACUGGAAUAAGGCCCAAUAGAAGAAACGCAAUACUUAGCAGCCCAAUGGCAUGCUGCUCCAUUGUUGUCUGGUUCAUGGGACACCAAUCCCAUGCUGACAUCAGGGAGGACCGGUAGCCAUGCACAACAGAUUCUCUGUAGAAUGUCAAACCUCAGCUGCCUUCAUGGAGAAGACUCCUGUACUGUGCUCACAUCCAUGGUCCAGAGGCCCUUUGCCAGGCAGCUCAGCCCACACCAGGUUCAGCAUGGCGGGCAGAUCCUCUAAGACAGUGAUUCUCUAUUUGGGAGUCGCAUAUCAGGCGGUGCAUAAACAAUGAAGGAGGAGAGCCUGAGGGCAUAACCUACCAAUGACUUCACACCCAUCCCAUGGACAAGAAGCAAUCCCUGACACUGUCAACGAUAUGGUCAUGCUUAUAGACCAGAACCUAACGUUAGAUAACAGCACAUCUGAAGAGAGUUUGUGACAAUAGUGUUGCCACUUUGAUGGUGAUCCCAUCCUCCUCUGAAACUGUAAGCAAAAUUAAAAUCUUUUAUGAAGUGCCUUAGACACUGUGUUUUAUCACAGCGACAGAAAAGGCACUAAUACACACCCAUAAAGUUUUACACCUGAACGAGUAACUCAUGUAAUGGAAGAGCAUUGCAUCAGCAAGUGCAAACAAAAUAAAGAGGGGCAUCAUAUCAUAAUGCUUGAAUAAA
rnacentral:sRNA from 1 species